UUAACAAAUACCUAAUACUUUUCUAUUUGGUCUUUUGUCUAUAUUUGUUUCAUCUAUGACAUCCUAAAGAUGGCGCUGAUUUCUGAAUUUUUACCCUAUCUCUGUCCUAUUAUUUGUUCGCUUUCUCUAUAUUUGUUUUACGAAAUUUAUGUGCUCAAAAGAUAACUCUAAUAUCUGAUAAACUUUAUUGUCUUUUAAAAUAAAAAUACAAAAAUAUAAUAUAAAAUAUAUUAUAACGUAUAAAAAUAUGUAUGCAGUAGAUCUAAUAGAUCGUAUAAUACAUAGAUAUGGAUUCAAUAAUUGAGAAUAUUCUAGUUUAAAUAGAGAAGAAAAAUAAGAUUUAUCAAUCUGAAGAUUUAAAAUAAGAAAGACAUUUCUCCAAAUAUAUAAGAAAUAAAAAUUACUUUAUUGAUAACAAAUGUA